ACUUUCAACAACGGAUCUCUUGGCUCUCGCAUCGAUGAAGAACGCAGCGAAAUGCGAUAAGUAAUGUGAAUUGCAGAAUUCAGUGAAUCAUCGAAUCUUUG
rnacentral:rRNA from 1 species